UACAGAGGAGCCAAGCGUUGUCCGGAUUGACUGGGCGUAAAGCGCACGUAGGCGGAUCGUUAAGUCGGGGGUGAAAUCCUGGAGCUCAACUCCAGAACUGCCUUCGAUACUGGCGAUCUUGAGUCCGGAAGAGGUGAGUGGAACUCCUAGUGUAGAGGUGGAAUUCGUAGAUAUUAGGAAGAACACCAGUGGCGAAGGCGGCUCACUGGUCCGGUACUGACGCUGAGGUGCGAAGCG
rnacentral:rRNA from 1 species